rnacentral:rRNA from 1 species
AGUGAACGCUGGCGGUAGGCCUAACACAUGCAAGUCGAACGGCAGCACAGUAAGAGCUUGCUCUUACGGGUGGCGAGUGGCGGACGGGUGAGGAAUACAUCGGAAUCUACUUUUUCGUGGGGGAUAACGUAGGGAAACUUACGCUAAUACCGCAUACGACCUACGGGUGAAAGCAGGGGAUCUUCGGACCUUGCGCGAUUGAAUGAGCCGAUGUCGGAUUAGCUAGUUGGCGGGGUAAAGGCCCACCAAGGCGACGAUCCGUAGCUGGUCUGAGAGGAUGAUCAGCCACACUGGAACUGAGACACGGUGCAGACUCCUACGGGAGGCAGCAGUGGGGAAUAUUGGACAAUGGGCGCAAGCCUGAUCCAGCCAUACCGCGUGGGUGAAGAAGGCCUUCGGGUUGUAAAGCCCUUUGUUGGGAAAGAAAAGCAGCAGGUUAAUACCCCGCUGUUCUGACGGUACCCAAAGAAUAAGCACCGGCUAACUUCGUG